rnacentral:snoRNA from 1 species
GUAAUGAUGAUUGCCAAUGUUCAACUGCUCUGAAAUCUGGAUGAAUUAAUUCUCUCUGAAC